UGUGCGGCUCUUGCAGGCUUUUCUCCAAGGAGGGAGAAGGGACUGACAGGCCGUGACAGUCCCUUCUCCCUUCUCGGGGAAAAGCCCGCAAGAGCCGCGCU